UGUCAACAGCCGUGCGCCGCGAGGAUCCAUUGCUGCGGCUUAGGUCUUGAAGAAACGCAGAGAUAGGUAGGGGGCUGUGGCCCUCAGAUUCUCGGGCAUCCGUCUUGGCAGUUGCUGGAGUUUGUCAUUCCAUCAGCAUCUUCUUCCUCCCGGGUUCUGCGAGCUUCAUCAGCUCGCCUUCGUUCUCACCCGGCUCAUCUCGUUCCGCGUUCUCUCGGUCCUUGCGGCCAUUCUUGUGGCCCAGAGUUUUGUCUCCCCGUUGUGUCCUCUCGUCUCUUGUCUUGUGUGUCACGGGUGUCUGGGUGUAGUUGUCCCGGAGCUGCUCUGUCCUGCUGCCCAGCCUGGGUGUAGGUGUAAAAGGCCGAGUCCCAGGCCCCUGUAAUUUGAAAUUUGUCAUGUAGGGUGUAGUUGGAGUCUAGCGGGUGUUCCUAGAUUGACAUAAGAUGUCUGGAGCUGUGAAGUUACCCUGCAGCACUUUGACUUUUGUCUUAGCUUUCUUUCAGAUGCGGACGGAUGAAAUCGGUGGCAGAGCGCCCCAUCCAGGGUAAGGGGGUUCCCCCGAGAAGGAAGUGAAGCUGGCUAGCAGCAGUCAAGGCGAAGCGGGCAAGGCGGUCCAGUCGCGUUUUGCUGAGACGUCCUCGCCAACCGGCCGGCACAGCUGCUUCACCGCUCCCGUGAGCCCUGCGGAAGCAUUACGGGACCGUGUGACAGA